rnacentral:sRNA from 1 species
UGCCGAAACUUCCGGACAGGGAGUGCGGGGGAUGUAACGAUGCAGAUUGUGCAGGGGGAAGAUCUACAGCACACUGCUUGGGGUGAAUUGGGUACAUAACGUUUCAAAUGUAACGAAGAACCUAUAGGGUGGGCUCCUCAUCCGAAUCCGACAACUAACUUCGCAGGCACAAUGAGGGAGGA